rnacentral:rRNA from 1 species
AUUGAACGCUGGCGGCAGGCCUAACACAUGCAAGUCGAGCGGAUGAAGGGAGCUUUCUCCUGGAUUCAGCGGCGGACGGGUGAGUAAUGCCCAGGAAUCUGCCUGGCAGUGGGGGAUAACGUCCGGAAACGGGCGCUAAUACCGCAUACGUCCUGAUGGAGAAAGUGGGGGAUCUUCGGACCUCACGCUAUCAGAUGAGCCUAGGUCGGAUUAGCUAGCUGGUGGGGUAAAGGCCUACCAAGGCGACGAUCCGUAACUGGUCUGAGAGGAUGAUCAGUCACACUGGAACUGAGACACGGUCCAGACUCCUACGGGAGGCAGCAGUGGGGAAUAUUGGACAAUGGGCGAAAGCCUGAUCCAGCCAUGCCGCGUGUGUGAAGAAGGUCUUCGGAUUGUAAAGCACUUUAAGUUGGGAGGAACGGCAGUAAGUUAAUACCUUGCUGUUUUGACGUUACCAACAGAAUAAGCACCGGCUAACUUCGUG